rnacentral:rRNA from 1 species
UGAGGGAUAUUGGUCAAUGGGGGAAACCCUGAACCAGCAACGCCGCGUGAGGGAAGACGGUUUUCGGAUUGUAAACCUCUGUCCUCUGUGAAGAUAAUGACGGUAGCAGAGGAGGAAGCUCCGGCUAACUACGUGCCAGCAGCCGCGGUAAUACGUAGGGAGCAAGCGUUGUCCGGAUUUACUGGGUGUAAAGGGUGCGUAGGCGGCCCUGCAAGUCAGAAGUGAAAUCCAUGGGCUUAACCCGUGAACCGCUUUUGAAACUGUAGGGCUUGAGUGAAGUAGAGGCAGGCGGAAUUCCCGGUGUAGCGGUGAAAUGCGUAGAGAUCGGGAGGAACACCAGUGGCGAAGGCGGCCUGCUGGGCUUUAACUGACGCAGAAGCACGAAAGCGUGGGUAGCAAACAGG